UACACGAGCGGCGGACGGCUGAGUAACGCGUAGGAACCUACCCCAGACUGAGGGAUAAGCACCAGAAAUGGUGUCUAAUACCGCAUAAUCUCUUCGGAGCAAAGCUACGGCGGUUUGGGAAGGGCCUGCGUCCGAUUAGCUUGUUGGUAAGGUAAAAGCUUACCAAGGCGACGAUCGGUAGCUGGUCUGAGAGGAUGAUCAGCCAGACUGGGACUGAGAACGGCCCAG
rnacentral:rRNA from 1 species